rnacentral:rRNA from 1 species
UCUCUGCUAAAGGUUACUGAAGUAUAGAGGGUGAAUUCUGCCCAAUGGUUGUACAGUGAAACUGAGGGCUAACGUCUAAAGCGAAACCCAACUGAAUGGCCGCGGUAACUCUGACCGUGAUAAUGUAGCACAAUAAAUAGCCAAUUAAUUGUUGGCGGGUAUGAAUGGAACCACGAGGGUCUUACUGUCUCAAGAGGAAAGCCGAUGAAAUUAUAGUUGUAGUGAAGAUACUACAUAAACAUUGUAAGACGAAAAGACCCUAUCGAGCUUUACUGGAUACCGAUAGCGUUAACCUAAAAUGAUCGAUACUAAGUAUCCUAAUUUUGAGUUAAUAAUUUUUGUUGGUAGGACAGUUUAGUUGGGGCGACUACCUUUGAAUAAGAAACGAAGGCGAGCUUAUGGUAUACAAAGCUAAUCUCAUUAGCCUGACAGUGAGGGGGACACCCCUAGCUGGCACAAGGACUACGUCCUAUGUGGGCGAUAAUGACCCGAUAUGAUUGUCCAAAAUAAAUAUCGAAAGCGGAUAAAAGCUACCGUAGGGAUAACAGCGUAAUAUUGUCGGAGAGUUCUUAUCGAGGACAGUGUUUGCGACCUCGAUGUUGAAUUGCGGUGCCCUGGUGCUGUAGAAGGUACCUUAGGUUGGUCUGUUCGACCAUGAAAAC